rnacentral:rRNA from 1 species
CUUGGAGGAAUGUAUAGCAACUGCUAGUUGCACUAAAAACUUUAGUGUAAAAUCAACUUAGUUGAAUAAAAUUCUGGGUAGAAUUAUGAUAAUGACAUUAUCUGUCCAUAAGUCUUGACCAAAUUACGUGCCAGCAGUCGCGGUAAUACGUAGAAGACAAGUGUUAUUCAUCUUUAAUAGGUUUAAAGGGUACUUAGACGGUAAAUCAAGCCUUAAAAAGGGACUAAUUUGCUAGAGUUUUAUGUGAAAAAGUAUUAAAGUACUGCUGGUGUAGAGAUGAAAUUCUGUCAUACCUUGAAUGGCACAGGUUAAGGCGAAAGCAUCUUUUUAUGUAAAAACUGACGUUGAAGGACGAAGGCUUUGUGUCUCGAACAGGAUUAGAUACCCUAGUAGUCUAAGCAGACAAUGAUGAAUGUCAUAGAUUAGAUGUAAUUUGAUCUAUAAAUGAAAGUGUAAGCAUUCCACCUCAAGAGUAAUUUGGCAACAUUGGAACUGAAAUCAUUAGACCGUUUCUGAAACCAGUAGUGAAGUAUGUUGUUUAAUUUGAUAAUCCGCAAAAAACCUUACCACAAUAUGAAUAGAUAUAUUUUAUCAUACAAGCGUUGCACGGCUGUCUUCAGUUAAUGUCGUGAGACUUUGGUUAGUUCCAUAAAAUUAACGUAAACCCUUACUUUAUUUACUAAUAAAGUAGUUCACCGCUAUAUUGGAUGUGAUAAGAGGGAUCAAGACAAGUCAUCAUGACCUAAAUA